rnacentral:rRNA from 1 species
UACGUAGGCAGCGAGCGUUGUUCGGAGUUACUGGGCGUAAAGGGUGUGUAGGCGGUUGUUUAAGUUUGGUGUGAAAUCUCCCGGCUCAACUGGGAGGGUGCGCCGAAUACUGAAUGACUUGGAGUGCGGGAGAGGAAAGUGGAAUUCCUGGUGUAGCGGUGAAAUGCGUAGAUAUCAGGAGGAACACCGGUGGUGUAGACGGCUUUCUGGACCGUAACUGACGCUGAGGAGCGAAAGCCAGGGGAGCAAACAGG